rnacentral:rRNA from 1 species
UACGGGGGGGGCAAGCGUUGUUCGGAAUUACUGGGCGUAAAGGGCUCGUAGGCGGCCAACUAAGUCGGAUGUGAAAUCCCCAGGCUUAACCUGGGAACUGCAUCCGAUACUGGUUGGCUUGAAUCCGGGAGAGGGAUGCAGAAUUCCAGGUGUAGCGGUGAAAUGCGUAGAUAUCGGCAGGAACACCCAGGGGGAAACCAGCCGACUGGGCAAGUGCUGACGCUGAGGUGCGAGAGCGUGGGGAGCGAACCGG